rnacentral:rRNA from 3 species
UGUGAGGUUAAGCGACUAAGCGUACACGGUGGAUGCCCUGGCAGUCAGAGGCGAUGAAGGGCGUGCUAAUCUGCGAUAAGCGCCGGUAAGGUGAUAUGAACCGUUAUAACCGGCGAUACCCGAAUGGGGAAACCCAGUGUGACUCGUCACACUAUCAUUAACUGAAUCCAUAGGUUAAUGAGGCGAACCGGGGGAACUGAAACAUCUAAGUACCCCGAGGAAAAGAAAUCAACCGAGAUUCCCCCAGUAGCGGCGAGCGAACGGGGAGGAGCCCAGAGCCUGAAUCAGCAUGUGUGUUAGUGGAAGCGUCUGGAAAGGCGCGCGAUACAGGGUGACAGCCCCGUACACAAAAGCGCAUGUGCUGUGAGCUCGAUGAGUAGGGCGGGACACGUGGUAUCCUGUCUGAAUAUGGGGGGACCAUCCUCCAAGGCUAAAUACUCCUGACUGACCGAUAGUGAACCAGUACCGUGAGGGAAAGGCGAAAAGAACCCCGGCGAGGGGAGUGAAAAAGAACCUGAAACCGU